rnacentral:lncRNA from 1 species
UCUCUUUUCCUUCCUUUCCUCCUUCCUUCCUUCCUUCCUUUCCUCCUUCCUUCCUUCCUUCCUUCCUUCCUUCCUUCCUUCCUUCCUUCCUUCCUUUUUUUCCUUCCUUUCUUUUUCCUUUCUUCCUUCCCCUUCCUUCUCCUCUUUUUCAUUUCCUUUCUUUUUUCUUGUUUUUUUUUGAGAUGGGGUUUUACUAUAGAGCCACUGCUGGUCUGGAAGUUGCGAUAUACAUCAGGAUAUCCUUGAACUCACAGACCCCUGCCUGCUUCUACCUCAAGAGUAUUCAAGGAAUCUGCCUGUCUUCUUUACGUGGCUCUUAAGGAAACAGGGUUGAAUUCAGUCUCAUAACAUUUCCUGAUUUCCAAAAUGAGUUGACUGAUUUUGUCGUUGCCCUUUCCUUCAAUGUGGGAACAGCAAGGCUGAGAAGACGCUUGUAGGGGCUUCCUGAGGUAUCGGUUUAUAUUUGUGUUUUGAGGUUGUUAUCAGUGAGUAAGACCAUUCUCUAGAAGUAUCAGAAUUGGUGGUCCUGAACACUAAUAGUUCUACCCAUGAUAUCCUCAGCAACUGAAAAAAUGUGUAUAAUUUAUGGGAGUGAAAUGGACUUUUCUUACUUGAUGAUUGAAGCAAAGACAAGACCACACAGGCUGCAUGAUCAAGUCAGACUCAUACCUUUUGCAGUCUGCACACUGAUGCCAUUAAUAAUGCUUCAUGCUGGUGAGGUGGGUAUGAACAUGUCUGGGGAUCCAUUUAUUCUCAGAGGACCAGGAAAUGGGAAAUAUAUUAACAAGCAGCUGAGGUGAAAACAAAAAUGUGGAGAACAAGACACUAAAACUUGAAUGAUCGAGAAAGAAAAAGUCAAGCAGAUUUUAUAUUUUUUCCAUCAAAACUGCAUGGCAUGUGUAGAAUAUGCUUAGCAAAAAAAUGAACAAUUAAAAGGUUAGGGUAUUCAGCUGGAAUUCAUAUCUAUUCCCCCAAAUAUCCUUGUUGGGGUUUGUAGAAUAUUCUCCCCAGACUCAGAGUUUCUUGGGUCUCCGACUGGUGGUACUGUUCUGGACGCUUAUGGAGACUUUAGGAAGUAGAUCCUUGCAGGAGGAAGUGGGUAACUGGGGAGUUGACCUUGAUGUUUUAUAACCCGGCCUAUACUCUUGUCUGCUCGCUACUUCUUGAUUGCAUAGGCAACGUGACCAGGUACCUCAUUCUCCUGCCACCAUGCCUUCCCUACUGUGAUGGACUAUAUCCUGGCAUUGUAAGCCAGAAUCAUUUCUUUGUCCCUUAAGUUGGUUACAACAAUGAAAAAAAUAACUAAUACAGUUUUCACUUCUGUUCACUUCCUGUUCUUGUAUAUCCAUCUCAGGUCCAUCUCUGUACAGAAGUGCCAGUCUUUCCCUUCCUACUGCAAGUUAACACUGACUGAUCUUAGCCUACAGUGAUGCCCAUCUGUUCAGUGGCUUGCUUCAGACAGCAAUGCUUUGAGAACUGCCAUUAGGCUCUCUCUGGGUAACACGGAACUGUUUCCUAGAACUAGCCAGACUUAAACUUAAUUACAGAACAAAAAUACAAAAAGGUACAAGAUAAAAAAAUUUUAAUAUCCAUAGUAAUUAAAAAGUCUCUAUGAAACCAAUAAAGAACUGCCAGUAUUUGUGUGUAAAGAUAUUCAAAUGUGGUUUCUAGGACAGCAUCUAGUGGUGAAAGGAGACAGAAGAAGGAAGCUUCGCACUAUAUUUUUGAAUAAGGCUUGAGGAUAUGGAUUAAUACUAAUUUGGUCAAAUGUCCAAAGUCUUAAAGCAUCCAUUUAUUUAACCAAAAGUAUUUAUCUAGGGUUCCAGGGAAAUGGCCCAGUGGGUGAAACUGCUUGGUGCACAAGCCUCGUGAUCUGCAAUUGAAUGUCAGGGUCAUGGAGAAAGCCAGACAUAGCAGCAGGAAUCUAGACUCUCAGUACGUAUGUGGUGAAAUUGGAGGUGGAGAUAGAAUCAUCUAGAAAGUCAUGGGCCAGCCAGCAUGGAGGACAUGCAGAACAACACAGCAGCAGAAACAAGAGACCCUAUACGAACUGUGACAAGCAAUACCCAGCUUGUGAAAAGCUGUUCUUAACCUCCACUCACGCACAUGCUCACACUCACACACACAAAAUAAGUAGACAUAUUUGAUCAUUCAAACAAUAGGGUAGUUUUAAUAAUAAAACUAUAGAAAACGGCAUUUUUAAAAAGAUUUAUAUUUAGUUUUAAUUUUGUCUAAGUGUGUUUGGGGGGUGGUAUGUACAUGUGAGUGCAGGUGCCCACAGAGGCCAGCAGAGGGCGUCAGAUCCCUGGAGUUACAAGUAGUUCAUGCGUUGUCUGACAUGGAAGCUGGGUCCUCUGGAAGUGGACCUGCUUUAACCACUAAACCAUCUACCCAACCCAGAGUGCAUUAUCUUCACGAUGUAUUUAUCAAUGGAAAAUAAGGCUACAAAAUACUGUUCCAUAUGACUAAAUCUUGUAGAAACAAAAUAAAAUCUCUAUGUAUAU